rnacentral:lncRNA from 1 species
CGCCUCUGCUCCCCAGCCAGCUAGCGCGCCGGCCAGUCCGCCUGGGCCGUCUCCCGCUUCCCGCCGCUGCCGCUGCACGAUCGGCCGCGCCGCUACCAACCUUCCAGGUAGGUGUCCUAGCUGCGGAGGGGACCCCUGAAGCCGCAAGACGGUGCCCGCGGCACGGCCCGGGGGCAUUGUGCGCGGCCGGAGGGCCGAGGACCCUAAGGGACGCGCGGCCAGGCAGCCCGGCUCUGGGCCCCUGAGGCAUCAAAGCCCUCCGGGGGUUAGCCUGGCGGGAGAGCCGGGGGCCGCGGUGCCAGUCCCGCCCCGCGACCGAGGUGGGAGGGGGCGUCUGGGUCACGGUCCCCCUCGCUGCCCUCCCCUCCCCCUCGUCGUGGGGAAUUCCGGCCGCUAGCAUCCCCCAGCGCCGCCCCGCGCCCCGGCUCCCCCAGGCUGCUGGGAUACAAGCGAGGGCAGGGAGAGGGACUGAUGUAAUUGUCGGCGGAGAACCGAACCCGCGCGCCCGCUCCAGCUAACGCCUACGCCGCACCUUUCGGGGAAGCUGGGGAGCUGAGAGGAACGGCUGGGGAAGUUGUGCAUUGGGUUUUAUUGUGCGCGUGCACUGCAGACUGCCCUCACGGGGCACCCCUGCCCACCCACCCCUGCAGCCUUCCCUGCAGCCUUCGUCCACACCCCCAGCCAGGGCCGAGCCUGCCUUCCCCGGUUCAGACCGGGACAGGGUUUGCAUUGCAGUCCAGACGUGCUUCCCCUGCAUCGAGCCGGGAGCUGUCCGCAAAUCGUUUGGCGGGGGAUGCUGGGGGGAGGAGGGGAUGGGAAACCUGGGGAGGAAGCCGGAAAGAAGUAAUGACACCAGCAUAUUUUGUUAAAAAGCUUCUGGUGUAUAUAGGAACAUCUGCAUGACACCUUUUAAGCUGUUUUUGAAAGUUAUGACCAGAUACUGAUAUUGUGGCCAUUCUGGUUAUAUACCUGAAGGUAGCUUAAACAUAGAGACCUAAAGCUGGGGAAAGCAUUACAUAAUGGACAUGAAGCAAAUGACACGAAACUAAGUAAACCCACUGGGUUGCCAGAUUAUUUCUCUCUCCUGAUUGCAAAGUCCUAUAUAGGCUUUUCCUCUAUAAGAAUUUCCAUUUUUAAAUCGCUGUACUAGUUUUAGCAAACUGUGAUUUUUUUUCUCCAAAUAACACAAUUUUUCUUGACCAUCUUUUCUUAAAUGUAAUAAUUGCAUGUUAAUGGAUAGUUCUGUAUCACAGAGCUGAUGAAUAAACGUUGGAAAUCUUUCAGUCUUACCUUUGGAAAUCUUUCUCCAGAGGUAAGAUUUUUAAAUAUUCCAUCUUAAUAUCAUUAACUUUGUUUCCUUCUUGGAUGUAUUUUUCCCCUCUCGUCUCCCCUUUGUUUUUUGGAAGCAUUUCUACAGUUUUAGGUACUGCUAGCUCACAAUGUUGAUAUUCCUAUCCAAUGCUACAGCAUUGCAGAUACAAAGACUAAUAAUAAAUGAAACAGAAGACCUCACAGUAACUCAGAAUGAGCAGAGUUCCCAAGGUCGAAGGGAAGCUGCAGUGUAACUGGGGUAUAAUCACCUACAGAGAAUAUGCAUAGCCCUCCUUGGAUUAUAAGGGAGGCCAGGAUUGGUGGAAUAUUAUUUCUGUUAUUCUCUUACUCUGGAUUUCCUGUUUCCCCCUACAAAUAUUUUUUUCCACAAAGUAGAAACAAAAUAUUUUUAAAUUAGAGUCUUUGCUUUUAGAAAGCCUAAAAUUCCUGUUGUUGCUCAUAUUUUCAGUUGAUAUUGAUAACUCAGUAUACAUUUAGUGGAUGGAUUCCUUUUGGGAUAUCUCAGUUUCAAAUCAUGAUGGUUUAUCACAUGUCUCUUGGUUGUAGUAUAAUGUGAUUCGGUUGGACUUUUAUGGGGUUGCUUCACAUAAGUUUUCUUGUCCUUAGAUUGCUUUAACCUUUUGUUAGUUAAUUUUAUUCCAAAAAGAAAGGUAAAGUCCUUUCAAGAUUAAAUAUUUGUUGUUGGAAAUCUGUAGCACCACUGCAGAAAUAGAUUAGGUUAAUAUGUAAGUAGAUAAAAGUUUUUAUGUGACUUUAUUCAUGAAACUAUUGGCCUAAGGAGAAGUUUUAAAUUUUAGUAAAAUGCCUUGGUUAAGUAACAUUCAGUAAUCAUUCAGUAAAUACUUACUUAUUGAACACUGAUCUGUUCAAAGCAUUGGUGUGGGCAUGUGGGAGAUACAAAUAAGAAUGAAGAGUUUGUGGUCUUGUUGGGAGGAUAAGGUCUGUUUGGAGGGAUUUUAUUUUUUAACUGCACUGUUAAGUAAUAAUUAUAAUACUUCUUUUAGUUUGUUUUUAAUUUUGAAAGAGUCUCAUUAUCUAUUGAUGUAUGAGACUUUUUUCCCCCCACACUCAACAUUAUGUCACUUAGAUUCAUCCAUGUUCUGUGUCACUGUGGUUCAUUGACUUACACUGCUGUGCCAUAGUCUGUGUGUCUAUUACACAGUAUAGAAUUGUUGAUUGUGUAGGAUGUGUGGAUAUUCAACUUGUAGAUAUUGCCAAAUUAUUUUCCAAAGUUGUACAAAUUUAUACAAGCCAGGGAAAUAAACACACACGAUCAUCACAUACAAACAAGCGUGUGUGUGUGUAUGUGUAUGUGUGUCUGUGUGUGUGUUGAAUUGCCUUUCUUUGGCAUAGAGCUUUGGAGAACAUCUUGCUGGUAUUUCUAAAUGCAGUUGAAUGACAAUGUGGCAACAUCUUUAAUAUAAGAAAAAAAGGAAGAAAAGGGAAAAAAAGGAAAAAUAAGGUAGACCUCCCAAGGAUAAAAGCUUGCUGGUUACUUACCAGUAAAG